rnacentral:rRNA from 1 species
AGAGUUUGAUCAUGGCUCAGGACGAACGCUGGCGGCGUUAACACAUGCAAGUGGUGCGACGAACCAGGGCUUGCCCUGGGGCCAAGCCGCGAACGGGUGAGUAACACGUGAGUAACCUGCCCCGAUGACCGGGACAACCCGAGGAAACUCGGGCUAAUACCGGAUAUGGCGCACAUUCGUAAGUUUGUGCGCUAAAGGAAGCUUCGGCCUCCGCAUUGGGAGGGGCUCGCGGCCCAUUAGCUUGUUGGUGGGGUAACGGCCUACCAAGGCAACGAUGGGUAGCUGGUCUGAGAGGACGAUCAGCCACACUGGGACUGAGACACGGCCCAGACUCCUACGGGAGGCAGCAGUGGGGAAUCUUGCGCAAUGCGCGAAAGCGUGACGCAGCAACGCCGCGUGGGGGAAGACGGCCUUUCGGGUUGUAAACCCCUUUCAGGAGGGACGAAGGUUCACCGGUGAAUAGCCGUGUGGAUUGACGGUACCUCCAGAAGAAGCUCCGGCUAACUACGUGCCAGCAGCCGCGGUAAUACGUAGGGAGCAAGCGUUGUCCGGAAUCAUUGGGCGUAAAGCGCGCGUAGGCGGCCUCAUAAGUCCGUUGUGAAAGUCAAAGGCUCAACCUUUGAAAGCCGAUGGAUACUGUGAGGCUAGAGUCCGGAAGAGGCGAGUGGAAUUCCUGGUGUAGCGGUGGAAUGCGCAGAUAUCAGGAGGAACACCAAUAGCGAAGGCAGCUCGCUGGGACGGUACUGACGCUAAGGGCGAAAGCGUGGGGACGAACAGGAUUAGAUACCCUAGUAGUCC